GUACUUCGGCCCCAAACCAUUCAGUGUUUUAUCAAUAGGCAGCAUAGUAGAAGCCUUCAGGUAAUGGUUGCACUUCAUUUCUGUUCAGUGAAAGUUUUCCACACUCAAAAAUAAUAAUAAUUUCACAGAUGGAAGUGUGAUUUGACCGUAUUUUGCCUUUUCAGACUUUGAAUGCAUACUGGACAAACACCUGCAGCCGUUGCCUUACAGCGAGCCCAGCACACUGCAGAUCUCAGACCAAGGAAAAGUUCACUGGGGGACGGCCUCAGUGGAAAACAUCAGGGAUGAGCUGCCACCUGGAGCUCAGCGGGUUGCCGUGGACUUUCUUGAUUCAAAGUUAUUUUGCAAGAACUCCCAUCAUAAGAAAGGUGAAGUCCUGAUGAAGAAGAGACACCUUGAAAUUCUGGGAUACCGUGUCGUUCAGAUCCCUCACUUUGAGUGGAACUCAAUGGAGCUGUCAACACCAGACGCCUGGAAGGAAUAUCUGAGGAAGAACAUAUUAAGAGAGCUCUCCUCUUGAAGGCCUUAUUUAUUGAACAAUGAAGUAAUGUUACAGUGAGAGCUCUGACACAGCUAUGAGUUUGGUCUGAGAAUUUUCGGGCUGAAAGACUGAACAGAGUUAUGUUAACGGUAUGUUAAAUACAUCAAGUGCUCUUUAUCUUUGGUCAUUGAGCAUAAUGUUGACAUGAAUCUAUCUCAUUCGUGUUAAUUGAGAUGUGUAUUAUGUGCUUUUGUAUUAAAAUGAU